rnacentral:misc_RNA from 1 species
AAAAACUUGAUACGGAUGCCAUUGCAGCUACUGAAACAAAGAUCAAAAGCGGUUUCGUUAAUCUCCCCAUUUCAAUUUCCUUCUUCGUGAAUUGAUCAUCUCUUUUAGAUGCUUUACUUUUUUUAACUUUCGUUUGGUGGUGGUUUAGUUUCAUCUAUAAAUCCAGGAUGGCGACGGCAAUGGUGGAGGAAUCGAACUUCGAAGAUGACCAGCUUGCGUCUAUGACAACCGAGGACAUUCUUAGAGCCUCUCGUCUUCUCGAUAACGAGAUUCGUAUCCUCAAGGAAGAGUUGCAGAGAACGAAUUUAGAGCUGGAUUCAUAUAAGGAGAAGAUAAAAGAGAAUCAGGAGAAGAUUAAGCUCAACAAGCAGCUGCCUUACUUGGUUGGCAAUAUUGUUGAGAUUUUGGAAAUGAACCCAGAAGAUGAGGCUGAGGAAGAUGGUGCAAAUGUUGACCUUGACUCUCAAAGGAAGGGUAAAUGUGUUGUCCUGAAAACGUCUACCCGUCAGGUGAGCAUCUUGGAUAAUUACUGUCUGAUUGAAUUUGGUCUUCUAUUUCUAUUGUAAAUGAUUGAGCUCAUAGCUGUACAGAAAAAGACUAUAUUAUGGGGAAGGGGGUGGUGGUUCUGGUGGAGGUGUUGGAGCAGAGUGGGAACUCGAAGUUAGAAAUUUAUAUGCUACCUUCAUUGCAGACUAUUUUUCUUCCCGUUGUUGGUCUUGUUGACCCAGACAAGUUGAAACCUGGUGAUUUGGUUGGAGUCAACAAAGAUAGCUAUCUGAUCUUAGAUACUCUUCCAUCAGAGUAUGACUCAAGAGUGAAGGCCAUGGAGGUUGAUGAGAAACCAACAGAGGACUACAAUGACAUUGGGGGCUUGGAGAAACAGAUCCAGGAGCUGGUUGAGGCAAUUGUAUUGCCCAUGACUCACAAGGAGAGGUUUCAGAAGUUAGGUAUUCGUCCUCCCAAAGGUGUCCUCUUGUAUGGACCUCCUGGGACAGGGAAGACGUUGAUGGCCCGAGCUUGUGCUGCACAAACAAAUGCUACUUUUCUAAAAUUGGCAGGCCCGCAACUUGUGCAGAUGUUCAUUGGUGAUGGUGCCAAACUUGUUCGUGAUGCCUUUCAGCUUGCAAAAGAGAAAUCUCCCUGCAUCAUAUUUAUAGAUGAAAUUGAUGCAAUUGGCACUAAGCGGUUUGACAGUGAAGUAAGUGGAGAUAGGGAAGUGCAGAGGACCAUGUUAGAAUUGCUUAAUCAGCUUGAUGGCUUUAGUAGUGAUGAGAGGAUUAAGGUGAUAGCUGCAACAAAUCGUGCUGAUAUCUUGGAUCCUGCCCUCAUGCGAUCUGGCAGAUUGGAUCGCAAAAUUGAGUUUCCGCACCCAACUGAAGAAGCAAGAGCUCGCAUUUUGCAGAUCCACUCAAGGAAGAUGAAUGUUCAUCCUGAUGUCAAUUUUGAAGAAUUGGCUCGGUCCACAGAUGAUUUCAAUGGGGCUCAGCUAAAAGCAGUUUGUGUAGAGGCUGGAAUGUUAGCGCUUCGACGGGAUGCAACUGAGGUGAACCAUGAGGACUUUAAUGAAGGUAUAAUCCAGGUCCAAGCGAAGAAGAAAGCAAGCUUGAACUACUAUGCAUAAUUUCAAAAGAUGAUUCUAUCCAAGGAUAAGGCAAGCUUAAGCUCAUAAUUUUUUCACGCCAGGAAUAGACAUAUUAGUCCUCUUGUUAUGAUUUCUGUGCAUCUUUUUAGAACCUUGUUGUAAAAGUUGAAGAUUUAAGUUGUACUUUGCUUUUCUUACUGUUGGAGUUUUAUUCAACAUGUCCAAUGAAUGGUAUCCAAUAGAAAAAGAAAGAAAGUAAUUAGUUGUGUUUUGAAACAUUCGUCUCUCAACACUUCUAUUUCAU